rnacentral:rRNA from 1 species
AUUGAACGCUGGCGGCAUGCCUUACACAUGCAAGUCGAACGGCAGCACGGGGGCAACCCUGGUGGCGAGUGGCGAACGGGUGAGUAACAUAUCGGAACGUGCCCUGGAGUGGGGGAUAACUAGUCGAAAGACUAGCUAAUACCGCAUACGAUCUACGGAUGAAAGUGGGGGAUCGCAAGACCUCAUGCUCGUGGAGCGGCCGAUAUCUGAUUAGCAGUUGGUGGGGUAAAGGCCUACCAAGGCAUCGAUCAGUAGCUGGUCUGAGAGGACGACCAGCCACACUGGGACUGAGACACGGCCCAGACUCCUACGGGAGGCAGCAGUGGGGAAUUUUGGACAAUGGGCGCAAGCCUGAUCCAGCAAUGCCGCGUGAGU